rnacentral:rRNA from 1 species
GAUGAACGCUGGCGGCGUGCUUAACACAUGCAAGUCGAACGAUGAAGCCCAGCUUGCUGGGUGGAUUAGUGGCGAACGGGUGAGUAACACGUGAGUAACCUGCCCUUAACUCUGGGAUAAGCCUGGGAAACUGGGUCUAAUACCGGAUAGGAGCGUCCACCGCAUGGUGGGUGUUGGAAAGAUUUAUCGGUUUUGGAUGGACUCGCGGCCUAUCAGCUUGUUGGUGAGGUAAUGGCUCACCAAGGCGACGACGGGUAGCCGGCCUGAGAGGGUGACCGGCCCCACUGGGACUGAGACACGGCCCAGACUCCUACGGGAGGCAGCAGUGGGGAAUAUUGCACAAUGGGCGCAAGCCUGAUGCAGCGACGCCGCGUGAGGGAUGACGGCCUUCGGGUUGUAAACCUCUUUCAGUAGGGAAGAAGCGAAAGUGACGGUACCUGCAGAAGAAGCACCGGCUAACUACGUG